UACGGAGGGGGCCAGCGUUGUUCGGAAUCAUUGGGCGUAAAGGGCGCGUAGGCGGCCACGCAAGUCGGAUGUGAAAUCCCUCGGCUCAACCGAGGAACUGCAUCCGAAACUGCGAGGCUCGAGUCCUGGAGAGGGUAGUGGAAUUCCCAGUGUAGCGGUGAAAUGCGUAGAUACUGGGAGGAACACCGGUGGCGAAGGCGGCUACCUGGACAGGUACUGACGCUGAGGCGCGAAAGCCGGGGGAGCAAACAGG
rnacentral:rRNA from 1 species